UUAAGAGUUUGGUUCUGGCUCAGGACGAACGCGGGCGGCGUGCCUAAUACAUGCAAGUCGAGCGGACAGAUGGGAGCUUGCUCCCUGAUGUUAGCGGCGGACGGGUGAGUAACACGUGGGUAACCUGCCUGUAAGACUGGGAUAACUCCGGGAAACCGGGGCUAAUACCGGAUGGUUGUUUGAACCGCAUGGUUCAGACAUAAAAGGUGGCUUCGGCUACCACUUACAGAUGGACCCGCGGCGCAUUAGCUAGUUGGUGAGGUAACGGCUCACCAAGGCGACGAUGCGUAGCCGACCUGAGAGGGUGAUCGGCCACACUGAUUAACCCCGCCAAU
rnacentral:rRNA from 2 species